rnacentral:lncRNA from 10 species
CGCGGCCGACGCUACCGGGCCCAGCUUUCGCAAGGAAAGGGCAUCUCCGAACUUCGUCGGAGGCCACAGCAGCAGGCGUCUCGGCCUCGCAGCUAGGGAUCGGAAAGAUGAACGUACCAUGCGAGGAAACUUUGUUUUCUGGUUAUCCACUGGGCUUAUUUUGAUGUAAGAAUCACCGAAAAGCACUCAUGAAGCGUGGGAGGACACAGAACUAGCUACAGACAGGAGUCUCGUCCUUCCGGAGACAGACACCCAACUCAUUCAGCUGCACAGUGUCACAGAGAACAGAUGUUAACAUGAAGCCAAUGUACAGCCUCAACAGCUGCAUACCAGACAAUCGCCACAGCGGCUGAUCGUCGUUAAGACAUAGCGUGGCCGGAGGCAAAUGUUACCCUUUAUCUAAUAAGGGUGGUCUGGAAUUAUGGAAUUCCUGAUUAGAAGAGUCAGACUAGGACAGGCUAAGGAAAAUAUUCUUACAGGAAGCACUCUGAGGAGAAGGUUCCUCCUAACUAGAAUGUAAGCGCCAUGCAGGCAGGAAUUUUGACUGGCUCACUGCUGUAUCCUCUGGUACCUAAUACUGAGUAACACAUAGUAAGUGUUCGGGAAAAUAUUCAUUGAUGUAUGAAUAAAGAGAUUUGAAGUGGCCCUGGGACGACUGGGGUGGCAGGGCUUUGGUAAGUGUAAUAAAGCCGAAGC